GAUCGAGGCUGCGGUGCAGUGUUUCUAUUCGCUGGGACCGGCAUGGGGAGGUGUCAUCACUAUGGCUAGUUUCAACAAGUUCAGCCAUAACGCAUUCAGUCAUUGGAUUCCUUGCCAAGGAAACCGGUGUCUCUAUUGACGACCUUCCAUUUUCAGGUGCCUCCCUGGCGUUUAUUGCCUACCCAGAGGCAUUGAGCAGACUUCCAUUAUUGAUUGAUUUCAGUUUGGGACGUUUGAAACAGUGAUUAAUGCGAUCGUUGACUAUGAUUUUCGGCGGCUCCACCGAUAUCGCAUCCACAUAACCGUUUCGCUAACCGUUCUGAACAUUGCCGGCAGCAUCCCGCUGUGCACAUCAGUGCCAACCGUUUCAGCGAAGACAUCGAGAUGAUGACAGGCAACCGCCCGCCUCUGUUAGUCCGAAUCGUCUGGUCCUUAAUUAUACCCAUAUUCAUAUCCACCAUUCUGAUCACCUCUGCGGUCAACUUCGGCGUACCAUCGUUCGGCAAGGGAGGAUACCAGUACCCGGACUAUGCUGUUGUGCUGGGAAAUGUGCUCGCCUUCGCUCCACUUGUCAGCAUAUUUGUUGUCGCAGGUGUUUUGGUGGCUAUUAAAGGCACGGGUACAAUAACACAGAGAGUCUGCCAGCUAACGCGACCGGCACCAGAAUGGUACCCGAACGACGAGAAUGCUGAGCACAUAUUCAAAAGCAAGUCCUAUACAUACCGAAAAACACUACAAGAAAGAAUCAUAUACGAUGUGUUAGGGUUGCGAUCUAACUCUAGGCAGCACAUUCCAGUAUAUGAUCAUUAAUGUCCUUUUCAGAAGCGAAAUUUGUGUACAUUUUUUGCGUCAUUUGUUAAACGAAACUGGUUGAAUAAAUUGUAUAUAUGAG